rnacentral:rRNA from 1 species
GAUGAACGCUGGCGGCGUGCCUAAUACAUGCAAGUCGAGCGAACGGACGAGAAGCUUGCUUCUCUGAUGUUAGCGGCGGACGGGUGAGUAACACGUGGAUAACCUACCUAUAAGACUGGGAUAACUUCGGGAAACCGGAGCUAAUACCGGAUAAUAUUUUGAACCGCAUGGUUCAAAAGUGAAAGACGGUCUUGCUGUCACUUAUAGAUGGAUCCGCGCUGCAUUAGCUAGUUGGUAACGGAACGGCCUACCAAGGCAACGAGGCGUAGCCGAGAUGAGCGGAUGGGCAGCCACACUGGAACUGCGUCCACGUCCCGACGCCUACGGGCGGCAGAAGGCUGGAAUAUUGGACAAUGGUCGCCAGCCUUAUCCAGCCAUACCGCGUGAGUUAAGAAUGCCUGCGUGUCGGAAAGCCCUUUUGUGGUGAAAGAAAAGCAGCACGUUAAUACCUCGCUGGUCUGACGGUACCUAAAGAAGAAGCACCGGCUAACUUCGUG